rnacentral:lncRNA from 1 species
AUGGAGACAGUGAAGAAAGAAGAGCAGUUGUUGCAGGAGCCUUCUGAUAAUAAUAAUAAGAGACAGGUUGCUGAUGAGGAUUUCUUCACCUUCCUGUGCCACAUAGGGUGCAUCCACACUCUGACUACACUCACUUCCAGUCCACAGGUGGCUGUCAAGACUGAGCUGUGUAUAUUACAGGGAGUAUCAAAGAAGACAUCAAUCAAACGAGAUCAUUUUACUUUGACCAUUAAGCAAUUGUUGUUGUGUAAGGGUAACACCAUCUGAAUCUGAUCUGGACUAGAAAGCUGAAAUUCAGAUUUGAAGAAGGAUUUUGAAUGACUAGAUCUAAAGAUCACUAUGUUUACAUACAUAAAAUUUGUGAAUAGUGG